CUCUUGUGACCUACUGCAGCAUCACUGAGAGCAGUUUGGGUUCACUGCAAUUCCUGUGCUGGGAGAAGAAAGGGGUGUCUUGGGAGAAUGUUUGUAGCCAUCAAAGUAUUGAUGGAAGGAAAGAAAGAAGAGGGUUUUCAUUGUUAACUUUAAAAAAGCCAGAAUGGAAGGCCUUCUUUCUGUUAUCUGGCUGUUCCCAGCCACAGCACUGGGAGGGCAAGUGCAAUCCAAGGUCUUGCAGAUUGUAGGAGCCAAGGAAGAGUCCUUCCACAGUCCUCUGUGCAGGAGGAGGAUUUUCAUGUCAUUCGCCCAGUUUCAGCACAGGAGAGCCACUGAAAGGCAGAGGCACCUCCUACCUCAGACAAAUUUCAAUUAAAAUUCCUAUUUGAAGAGUCA